rnacentral:misc_RNA from 1 species
GAUGAAGAACGCAGCGAAAUGCGAUAACUAAUGUGAAUUGCAGAAUUCCGUGAAUCAUCGAGUCUUUGAACGCACAUUGCGCCCCCUGGUAUUCCGGGGGGCAUGCCUGUCCGAGCGUCAUUGCUGCCCAUCAAGCACGGCUUGUGUGUUGGGUCCUCGUCCCCCCCGGGGGACGUGCCCGAAAGGCAGCGGCGGCACCGCGUCCGGUCCUCGAGCGUAUGGGGCUUUGUCACCCGCUCUGCAGGCCCGGCCGGCGCUGGCCGACGCGAAAGCAACCAUUUUUUCUCCAGGUUGACCUCGGAUCAGGUAGGGAUACCCGCUGAACUUAAGCAUAUCAAGAAGCGGAGGA